rnacentral:rRNA from 1 species
UGCAGGACGAUCCGAGCAGAAGACAUUGUCAGGUGGGGAGUUGUUGUUUGUUUGAUGGGAUCUACUACUCGGAUAACCGUAGUAAUUCUAGAGCUAAUACGUACAUCAAACCCCAACUUCUGGAAGGGAUGCAUUUAUUAGAUGAAAGGUCGACGCGGGCUCUGCCUGUUGCUGCGAUGAUUCAUGAUAACUCGACGGAUCGCACGACCAUCGUGCUAGCGAUGCAUCAUUUAAAUUUCUGCCCUAUCAACUUUCGAUGGUAGGAUAGUGGCGUACCAUGGUGGUGAUGCGUGACAGAUAAUUAAGGUUCGAUUCAGGAGAGGGAGCCUGAGAAACGACUACCACAUCCAAGGAAGGCAGCA